ensembl:lncRNA
UUGGAGUUUCAGCUUCAACAUCAGUCCUUCCAAUGAACACCCAGGACUGAUCUCCUUUAGGAUGGACUGGGGAUCUUGCAAUCCAAGGGACUCUCAAGAGUCUUCUCCAACCACAGUGGUCAUGGCUGAUUGGUGGAUGGAGGAGUCCAAGAUCAACCGAGAGAAAAGGAAGGCCAAAAAGGAACUGAUUGGGAAAAACAAGAGUGACUGAGGGACUCAGAGUCUUGAGCAAAAGGGCAAAUUCAAAAGGAGAUGGAGAAAAAAAAUGGGAUCAGAAAUGACUGCAUGGGCAUUUGAACCUGGGAGAUGCCUGAAGGGUGACCUGGAGUCCUAGGCCCCUUAUGGUGACCUCACUGCACAUGAACAAGGAUGAGGGCCGAGGUACAAUGAGUCCUGGUACAAUGACUCCUGGCAGACAUUAUGGCUCACAAGCCCCACGUGCAGUGGAGCACUGAGUCCCAGCUCACCUGUCUACAGGCACCCAGACAAAUGCUUUGUCUCCUGCAUCGCAGGUGGAUUCUUUACCCACUGAGCCACCAGGGAAGCCCCUGAACCUCCAUACAUUCAUUUAAAAAUAGUAGUAGCUGUAUAGCACAGGAAACUCUAGUCAAUGCUCUGUGGUGACCUAAAUGGGAAGGCAAUCCAAAAAAGAGGGAUAUAUGUUUAUGUAUAGCUGAUUCACUUUGCUGUGCAGUAGAAACUCUGGAGGAGGGCAUGGCAACCCACUUCAGUAUUCUUGCUUGGAAAAUCCCAUGGACAGGAAAGCCUGGCAAGCUAUCGUCCUUGGGGUUGCAAAAGAGCCAGACACGACUGACUGUACGCACAGGAGAAACUGACUCAACACUGUAGAGAAACUAUACUCCAACAAAAUUUUAAAAAAUAAAUAAAAAAUAAAAAUGGUAGUAGUAGUUAUUCC